CCUACGGGAUGCUGCAGUGGGGAAUAUUGGACAAUGGGCGCAAGCCUGAUCCAGCUAUGCCGCGUGAGUGAUGAAGGCCUUAGGGUUGUAAAGCUCUUUUAGAUGGGAAGCGGUACCAUCAGAAAAAGCCCCGGCUAACUUCGUGCCAGCAGCCGCGGUAAUACGAAGGGGGCAAGCGUUGCUCGGAUUUAUUGGGCGUAAAGGGUGUGUAGGUGGCUUGAUAAGUUAGAUGUGAAAGCCCAGGGCUUAACCCUGGAAUUGCAUUUAAGACUGUUGAGCUUGAAGUUUGGAGAGGUUAGCAGAAUUCCCAGUGUAGAGGUGAAAUUCGUAGAUAUUGGGAAGAAUACCGAUGGCGUAGGCAGCUAACUGGCAAACUUGACACUGAGGCACGAAAGCGUGGGGAGCAAACAGGAUUAGAUACCCUAGUAGUC
rnacentral:rRNA from 1 species